rnacentral:rRNA from 1 species
AGUGAACGCUGGCGGUAGGCCUAACACAUGCAAGUCGAACGGCAGCACAGUAAGAGCUUGCUCUUACGGGUGGCGAGUGGCGGACGGGUGAGGAAUACAUCGGAAUCUACUUUUUCGUGGGGGAUAACGUAGGGAAACUUACGCUAAUACCGCAUACGACCUACGGGUGAAAGCAGGGGAUCUUCGGACCUUGCGCGAUUGAAUGAGCCGAUGUCGGAUUAGCUAGUUGGCGGGGUAAAGGCCCACCAAGGCGACGAUCCGUAGCUGGUCUGAGAGGAUGGUUGGGCACCAGAGGAACUGAGAACGGUCCCGAGCCCUUCGGGAGGGAGCAGUGGGGAAAUUUUGGCAAUGGGGGGAAACCUGACACAGCCCAGCCCCGGGGGUGAAAAAAGGCCUUCGGGUGUAAAACCCUUUUUUUGGGGAAAAAAAACUAUCGAGUUAAAACCGCCCUUCUUGACGGUACCCAAAAAAAAAGCCACGGCUAACUUCGUG